CUACGGGCGGCGCAGUGAGGAAUAUUGCACAAUGGGGGGAACCCUGAUGCAGCAACGCCGCGUGGAGGAUGACGCAUUUCGGUGUGUAAACUCCUUUUAUAUGUCAAGAAAAUGACGGUAGCAUAUGAAUAAGCACCGCUAACUCCGUGCCAGCAGCCGCGGUAAUACGGAGGGUGCAAGCGUUACACGGGAUCACUGGGCGUAAAGGACGCGUAGGCGGGUUGGAAAGUCAGGUGUGAAAUCCUACAGCUUAACUGUAGAACUGCACUUGAAACUUCUAAUCUAGAGUAUGGGAGGGGGAGAUGGAAUUAGUGGUGUAGGGGUAAAAUCCGUAGAUAUCACUAGGAAUACCUAAAGCGAAGGCGAUCUCCUGGAACAUUACUGACGCUAAGGCGUGAAAGCGUGGGGAGCAAACAGGAUUAGAUACCCGAGUAGUC
rnacentral:rRNA from 1 species